rnacentral:rRNA from 1 species
AGUCGAGGGGAAACGACAUCGAAAGCUUGCUUUUGAUGGGCGUCGACCGGCGCACGGGUGAGUAACGCGUAUCCAACCUGCCCACCACUUGGGGAUAACCUUGCGAAAGUAAGACUAAUACCCAAUGACGUCUCUAGAAGACAUCUGAAAGGGAUUAAAGAUUUAUCGGUGAUGGAUGGGGAUGCGUCUGAUUAGCUUGUUGGCGGGGUAACGGCCCACCAAGGCGACGAUCAGUAGGGGUUCUGAGAGGAAGGUCCCCCACAUUGGAACUGAGACACGGUCCAAACUCCUACGGGAGGCAGCAGUGAGGAAUAUUGGUCAAUGGGCGAGAGCCUGAACCAGCCAAGUAGCGUGCAGGAUGACGGCCCUAUGGGUUGUAAACUGCUUUUAUAAGGGAAUAAAGUGAGUCUCGUGAGACUUUUUGCAUGUACCUUAUGAAUAAGGACCGGCUAAUUCCGUGCCAGCAGCCGCGGUAAUACGGAAGGUCCGGGCGUUAUCCGGAUUUAUUGGGUUUAAAGGGAGCGUAGGCCGGAGAUUAAGCGUGUUGUGAAAUGUAGACGCUCAACGUCUGCACUGCAGCGCGAACUGGUUUCCUUGAGUACGCACAAAGUGGGCGGAAUUCGUGGUGUAGCGGUGAAAUGCUUAGAUAUCACGAAGAACUCCGAUUGCGAAGGCAGCUCACUGGAGCGCAACUGACGCUGAAGCUCGAAAGUGCGGGUAUCGAACAGGAUUAGAUACCCUGGUAGUCCGCACGGUAAACGAUGGAUGCCCGCUGUUGGUCUGAAUAGGUCAGCGGCCAAGCGAAAGCAUUAAGCAUCCCACCUGGGGAGUACGCCG